UACAGGGGGGGCAAGCGUUGUUCGGAAUUACUGGGCGUAAAGGGCGCGUAGGCGGCGCGACAAGUCACUUGUGAAAUCUCCGGGCUUAACCCGGAGCGGCCAAGUGAUACUGUAGUGCUAGAGUGCGGAAGGGGCUACUGGAAUUCUCGGUGUAGCGGUGAAAUGCGUAGAUAUCGAGAGGAACACCUGCGGCGAAGGCGGGUAGCUGGGCCGACACUGACGCUGAGGCGCGAAAACCAGGGGAGCGAACGGG
rnacentral:rRNA from 1 species